rnacentral:rRNA from 1 species
GACGAACGCUGGCGGCGUGCUUAACACAUGCAAGUCGAAGAUAGUGGCGAACGGGUGAGUAAUAUGUAGUCACCUGCCCUCCUUUUUGGGAUAAUCCUUGGAAACGGGGUCUAAUCCCGAAUAGUGCGGGAUGUGCUCUCGGCCUAUCAGCUUGUUGGUGGGGUGAUGGCCUACCUAGGCGGUGACGGGUAGCCGGCCUGGGAGGAUGAGCAGCAAAACUGGAACUGAGACCCGGUCCAGACUCCGACGGGAGGCAGAAGUGGGGAAUAUUGGACAAUGGGCGAAAGCCUGAUGCAGCCAUGCCGCGUGUGUGAAGAAGGUCGUCGGAUUGUAAAGCACUUUAAGUGGGGAGGCGUUACCAACAGAAGAAGCACCGGCUAACUUCGUGCCAGCAGCCGCGGUAAUAC